GUGUUUUAUGAGGGUUAUUGGACGGUGUUGUAUGAGGGGGUAAGGACAGUGGCACUUAUUAGCCAAUGCUGUUAGCCUUCCUCCUCAAACCCUGGUGUAACUAUUUUUUGUUUUUUUCUUCUGGUUGGACAGGAGCAGUGGGCCAAAGCGGGAGGCAGACUGAUUUGGGUGGCGGAGUCCCUUUUUCACCUUCCCUGUAGUAUAGAGCACUUUGUGUGGCGUUGAGGAGCAGUGGGCCAAAGCGGGAGGCAGACUGAUUUGGGUGGCGGAGUCCCUUUUUCACCUUCCCUGUAGUAUAGAGCACUUUGUGUGGCGUUGAGGGUCCAGUAGGGGGCUUGUGUCCUGACCUGUCUUGGGAGGGAGAUUUUAAAUAAUCCUUAAUAAACUUUGAAAGAACAUUGGCAUUACGUCUCUGUCCAAGUGUGUCGAACCAGCGUGUCCUUCUGCCUUGGGCUUAUGUCCCAGGUAUAUUUCCUAGGGGUGAAAUUCCCCUAGGUGGCGUAGUCGUGCUACUUAAUUUACCC